AUGACUGACCUCGGACUCCUUCAUCAUUUCUUAGGUAUUGCUGUUGUUCGAGAUUCCUCCAGCCUUUUUCUUUCCCAACGUCAGUAUAUUCUUGAUCUUCUUAAUCGUGCUGGUAUGCUUGACUGUCAAUCAUCUCGUACUCCUAUCGAUACUAGUUUUAAACUUUCGGCUACCGGUGAACCCUUUUCCGAUCCUACUCUCUAUCGUAGCCUCACAGGUGCUCUCCAAUAUCUCACCAUUACUCGUCCUGAAAUCUCUUUUGCUGUUCAACAAGCAUGUCUCUAUAUGCAUGAUCCCCGGGUUCCUCACUAUAAUCAUGUUAAACGCAUUCUUCGGUAUUUAAAAGGAACUCUCAAUCAUGGCCUCCACCUCAAUAAUUCUUCUCCAAACUCGCUUACCGCAUACUCUGAUGCAGACUGGGCUGGUUGUCCUGACACUCGAAGAUCCACUUCCGGUUUUUUGUGUUUUUCUUGGUAA
rnacentral:rRNA from 1 species